GCCAUUGCAUUCCACCCUGGGCAACAAGAGCGAAACUCCGUCUCAAAAAAAAGAAAAAAAGAGGCAGUGCGUCCUGGGUCGGCGUAGCUAUGGCGUCUCGUGUCCUUUCAGCCUAUGUCCGCUGCCUGCCCGCGGCCUUUGCGCUGCUGCCCCGGGUCCGGAUGCAGACGUGGCCCGGCCUCUCAGCACCGGUCUGUGCUCCGCGGGGACUCAGACGAGGCUCGGGCCUUUGCAGCCGGCCUUAAAGCUCGCGCAGGUUCCUGGUAGAGUUACACAGUUGUGCCGCCAGUAUAGCGACAUGCCCCCUUUGACAUUAGAGGGCAUCCGGGACCAUGUUCUUUACGUAUUGAAACUCUAUGACAAGAUUGACCCAGAGAAGCUUUCAGUAGAUUCUCAUUUUAUGAAAGACCUGGGCUUAGUUUGGACCAAGUGGAGAUUAUCAUGGCCAUGGAAGACGAAUUUGGGUUUGAAAUUCCUGAUACAGAUGCUGAAAAGUUACUGUGUCCACAAGAAAUUAUAGAUUACAUUGCAGAUAAGAAAGAUGUAUAUGAAUAAAGUAUCAGACCCUUUGGCUUUGGGGAGAGAGGACUCAGAUGAUAGUGCCGAAUGUCUGGUAGUGAGGACACAUUUUCGCAUCAUUGCUGACUCUGACAGAGUGAUUCUGAUGGACUUGUAUUUAAAUUGUAUAAGUGUUUUACUCUUUGAAAAUAAAUCUAUAAAACCAAAAAAAA